rnacentral:rRNA from 1 species
CCCUUAGAUGUUCUGGGCCGCACGCGCGCUACACUGAUACGUUCAGCGAGUAUAUAACCUUGAUUGGAAAAUCUGGGUAAUCUUUUGAAUGCGUAUCGUGCUAGGGAUAGAUUAUUGCAAUUAUUAAUCUUGAACGAGGAAUUCCUAGUAAACGCAAGCCAUCAGCUUGCAUUGAUUACGUCCCUGCCCUUUGUACACACCGCCUGUCGCACAAACCGAUUGAAUGAUUCGGUGAAAAUUUUGGACAUCGAGAGUGGUGAUUAAUUUCGCUGCUCUUAAAUGGAAAGAAUUUAAACCUAAUUAUUUAGAGGAUUGUGAAGUCAUAACA